AGAGCGAACGCUGGCGGCAGGCCUAACACAUGCAAGUCGAACGCCGUAGCAAUACGGAGUGGCAGACGGGAUAGUAACACGUGGGAACGCGCCCUUCGGUUCGGAAUAACUCAGGGAAACUUGAGCUAAAUACCGGAUACGCCCUUACGGGGAAAGAUUUAUUGCCGAAGGAACGGCCCGCGUCGGAUUAGCUAGUUGGUGAGGUAAUGGCUCACCAAGGCGACGAUCCGUAGCUGGUCUGAGAGGAUGACCAGCAUCACUGGGACUGAGACACGGCCCAGACUCCUACGGGAGGCAGCAGUGGGGAAUAUUGGACAAUGGGCGCAAGCCUGAUCCAGCCAUGCCGCGUGGAUGAUGAAGGCCCUAGGGUUGUAAAGUCCUUUUAACGGGGAGAUAAUGACGGUACCCGUAGAAUAAGCCCCGGCUAACUUCGCGCCAGCAGCCGC
rnacentral:rRNA from 1 species